rnacentral:misc_RNA from 1 species
CAAAUUCUUACAUCAAACUCUCCAUGGAUGGUAUAGAAGAUGGCCAUGAACAUACCAAAAAACUCUCUGCAGCUGCCGCAAGAAAACCCUCCAAGGGUGGCUGGAAUUCGGCCAUUUUCAUCAUUGUUGUGGAAGUAGCAGAGAGAUUUGCUUUCUACGGUUUGUCUGGAAAUCUCAUAACAUACCUCACAAAUGAUCUCCAUGAGUCCACAGCCACCGCAGCCAAGAACGUCAACACCUGGAUUGGUGUCUCCUCCAUCUUCCCUAUACUCGGAGCAUUUCUUGCCGAUUCCUUUCUUGGCCGGUUCAAGACCAUUCUCUUAUCCACAAUCAUAUAUUUCACAGGCUUGGUUCUGUUAACCUUAUCAGUCUCAAUAAUCCCUAUGAGUCACCGUGAAGCUGUGUUCUUUCUCGCUCUUUAUAUACUAGCUAUUGGUGAAGGUGGACACAAGCCAUGUGUGCAGACUUUCGCUGCGGAUCAGUUCAAUGAGGAGAAGCCGGAGGAGAAGGCAGCCAAGAGCUCAUUCUUCAACUGGUGGUACUUGAGCAUAGUAAUUGGUGCUACCACAGCAGUCUUGUUGGUCAUUUACGUCCAGGAUAAUGUUGGAUGGACACAAGGGUUUGGAAUAUUGGCAGGAGCAGUAGCGGUGGCGUUGAUUAUAUUCUUGGUAGGAAUAAAGAGAUACAGGACACAGGCACCUGUUGGGAGUCCAUACACGGCAGUGGCACAAGUGCUGAUAGCUGCGGCACGGAAGCGGCGCGUGAGUGAGACGCGGCAGGGAUGGGGUAUUUGUUAUGAAGAUGAUGAGAAAGAUGUGGCUGACCACAUCGAGAGUCAACGCAGGGUUCGGACAUUGGCUCGCACGAACCAAUUCAGGUUCUUGGACAAGGCAAUGAUAAUUGACAACAUUGAUGCUUCAAACAAUACCAGAAAUCCAUGGCGGCUCUGCACCCUAAAUCAAGUGGAAGAAGUGAAGUUAGUCCUUCGCUUGAUCCCCAUAUGGUUAAGCUGCUUAAUGUUCACAGCCAUAAUAGUUCAAACCCACACAUUUUUCACCAAGCAGGGCAGUACAAUGAUCAGAACAAUAGGACCAAACUUCCAGCUUCCUCCAGCCUCACUUCAAUCCCUUAUAGGCAUCACAAUCCUCAUCGCCGUCCCAAUAUACGACCGAUUUUUUGUCCCGAUAGCAAGAAAAAUAACAGGACACCCUUCUGGCAUAACCAUGCUUCAAAGAAUAGGCUUUGGCUUGUUUCUAUCCAUUCUUGAAAUGGUAGUAUCAGCUCUAGUAGAGGCUAAAAGGGUAAGCAUUGCAAAAGACCAUGGGCUCAUGGACACCCCAAAAGCGAUAGUACCAAUGAACGUUUGGUGGUUGCUUCCACAGUACAUUAUCAGUGGACUAGCAGAUGUGUUUGCAGUGAUUGGAUUACAAGAACUGUUCUAUGAUCAAAUGCCAGAAGCUAUGAGAAGCAUGGGAGCAGCUGCAUAUUUAAGCAUAAUUGGACUUGGGAGUUUCAUAAAUACUGCGGCUAUAUCUCUAGUGCAGGCUAUUACCUCUAGGCGUGGAGGUGUUUGGCUUGGAGAUAAUCUGAAUCGUGCACAUCUUGAUUACUUCUACUGGGUAUUGGCAGUAAUAAGUGCUUUAAAUUUGUGUGUUUUUAUAUGGGUUGCUAAUCGUUUUGUGUACAAGAAAGUUGAAGAUGAGGAAACAGAGGAGGAGAAAGGAGCAGAAUCUUGAAGAGCAUUUGAAUGUAAAGGAUGAGUGGCUCCCUAAUAUCCAAUGAAUUGAUGAGAAUCAACUACUAAGCCAGUUUGGCAUUGUGGGAUGGUUUAGGUGCACUAAGAUCUCAGGUUUUCUGUAAAAUCCUCCAGCUCGCAACGCCAAACUGGGCCUUUAUUGAAAUGUAUAAGGUAUGGGAUCCCAUCACAGGCAAUAUUUAAACAGGCUUUCUAGGUGAGUCUCUAGUCUCUGUUACUAGCAAGUGCUUUUAUUAACUGGUUCUGUAAUGCUAAUUAUAACAAUGCUAAAGAAAACGAGUCAUGAUGGAUCAACGAUUCAUGAUGGGUCAACUUAG